rnacentral:rRNA from 1 species
UACAGAGGCCCCAAGCGUUACUGAGAAUCACUGGGUUUAAAGGGUGCGUAGGUGGUCCGUUAAGUCCGUUGUGAAAUCCCUGGGCUCAACCCAGGAACUGCUUCGGAUACUGGCGGACUUGAGGCUAGUAGGGGUCACUGGAACUGACGGUGGAGCGGUGAAGUGCGUAGAUAUCGUCAGGAACGCCAAUGGUGAAGACAGGUGACUGGGCUAGAUCUGACACUGAGGCACGAAAGCGUGGGGAGCGAACGGG